UAGGGUGUGUGGCAUAUUGUACCUCAUUCU
rnacentral:piRNA from 1 species